AAUAUUGCGCAAUGGGCGAAAGCCUGAAGCAGCGAAUCCGCGUGGGUGAUGAAGACCUUGGGGUAGUAAAACCCUGUCGGGAGGGAAGAAACUUGGGCGAUAUAAUUCGUAACAGACUUGACGGUACCUCCAAAGGAAGCACCGGCUAACUCCGUGCCAGCAGCCGCGGUAAUACGGAGGGUGCAAGCGUUAUUCGGAAUCACUGGGCGUAAAGCGCGUGUAGGCGGCCUCUUAAGUGUGGUGUGAAAGCCCGGGGCUCACCCCCGGAAGGGCAUUGGAUACUGGGAGUCUAGAGUUCGGGAGAGGGGGGGGGAAUUCGAGGUGUAGGGGUAAAAUGCGUAGAUAUCGGGAGGAACACCAGUGGCGAAGGCGGCCCUCUGGACGGCUACUGACGGUGAGACGGGAAAGCGUGGGGAGCAAACGGGAUUAGAUACCGAGGUAGUCCACGCCCUAAACGAUGGGCACUAGGUGUUCGGGGUAUUGACCCCCCGGGUGCCGCAGCUAACGCGUUAAGUGCUCCGCCU
rnacentral:rRNA from 1 species